AUUGAACGCUGGCGGCAGGCCUAACACAUGCAAGUCGUGCGAGCGGCGGACGGGUGAGUAAUUUAUGGGGAUCUGCCUGAUGGAGGGGGAUAACUACUGGAAACGGUAUCUAAUACCGCAUACCCUCAGAUUAACCCAUAUGGGAUUAGCUUGUAGGUGAGGUAAUGGCUCACCUAGGCGACGAUCCAUAGCUGGUCUUAGAGGAUGACCAGCCACACUGGAACUGAGACACGGUCCAGACUCCUACGGGAGGCAGCAGUGGGGAAUAUUGCACAAUGGGCGCAAGCCUGAUGCAGCCAUGCCGCGUGUAUGAAGAAGGCCUUCGGGUUGUAAAGUACUUUCAGGCGGGAGGCGUUACUGGCAGAAGAAGCACCGGCUAACUCCGUGCCAGCAGCCGCGGUAAUAC
rnacentral:rRNA from 1 species